rnacentral:rRNA from 1 species
AUGUGUGAGUCUCGCAAGGAAGGAGGAAUGGGCUUUAGGGACCCUGAGGCGUUCAAUCAAGCACUGUUAGCUAAACAGGCUUGGCGGCUCUAUCAGAGGCCUACAUCAUUAUGUGCUUGUGUUCUAAAGGCGCGCUACUACCCUCAUUGCUCCAUUCUGAAUGCGACUUGCCUGACGGCGGGCUUGUUCACUUUCAGAAGCAUCAUCUAUGGAAGGGAGCUGCUGCGGGCGGGCUCAAUUUGGCGAAUUGGCGAUGGUUCCUCGGUGAGUAUCCAUCACAGUAACUGGAUACCGAGGGCUGGGUGUAUGAGGCCACUGGGCUAG